rnacentral:lncRNA from 1 species
CAAUGGGGGAGAGGGUGCUAAUUAUCAUAGAAGAAAAAUGGGAAAGUUUGUGGGAUUUCAAAACUGUCAUCAUAAACCCAAAGCUACUUGAAACCACUGAAGGGUUUUAUGCAAGUGAAAGCAAAGUAAGCUUCAUUUUUUUGUAAAGAUCACACUGGCUGUGGUGAGGCUGGAAUGGAGGUGCAAAGGUGGAAGCGGAAAGGGUUUUAGAUUCCAGCAAAUUGCAACUUCUCCCAGCUACCUAAGAGUCCCCCGGAAAUGCUUGAUAAACCACAGCAGGAAAUCUUUAAAUGCAGGAAAGUCUAAGAAUCCUCCAAAGACGGGAGGAAACAGGAAAACGGGGCUCAGUGGGUGGUGGACACCCAGCUUGAGGGAAAGCUCUCCCAACCCCAGGUACCAAGGGACUUGGGUUAUGGUGGUCACAAGGGGAAGGGGCCAGGCCUGCGCUGAGCAGGGACUGGACAAUGUGCCCGUCACUGUGGAGAGUGCGUAAGGGUGCGGCACGCCUGGGCCUGCCCUCUGGUGGAGAGAAGGCUUUUGUAAACCUAGGUAUUUUCUUGGGUCUGGGUUAAAAUCCAUUCCACUGCUGGGUCUUGAAAUCCCAAGCUGAUAACUCUGAAAACACUUCCAGGCUUGUCCUACCUCAAGGUCCCUAGAAACACUGCCACAGCUUCUCAGGGGAGACCCCAGGAUGCACAGCACCCCUUGGAAAAGCCCCAGAGUCACAGCUCUUCUCCCUGUGAGGACCGUGUGGAGAUUCCAGUGCCCACCGCCACCAGGCCUUCCCAAGCUGUCCAACCUGUCCCAUCCUGGGGUCCUCUUCCUCCGAGUGCACAGUGUCUCGUGAUGCGGACCUCUGCCUCCCACUGCCCAGUUUGGGGUCCCAGGGGCAGUUCCCCUGCGGGUGUCGGGGUCCUGCAGGCUGUCCGGCCCCCGGCACAAUGCCCCUCCUAGUUGGGCGGGCACAGGGCAGGCAGGAGCCGCCUCGGGAAGGCUUUAUUCCCAGCUGUGGCAGCAGAUGCAAUGCAGGGGAGCCAGAGCACCUCCCGCUGCACACCAGGCCCCAGGUGUGACUCUGAC